rnacentral:rRNA from 2 species
CAAAAGCUUGGUCCUGACUUUACUAUCAACUUUAGCUAAACUUACACAUGCAAGUAUCCGCACCCCUGUGAGAAUGCCCCACAGUCCCCUGCCCGGGAACAAGGAGCUGGUAUCAGGCACAAUUACACCCAGCCCAUGACACCUUGCUUAGCCACACCCUCAAGGGAACUCAGCAGUGAUAGACAUUAAGCUAUAAGUGAAAACUUGACUUAGUCAAAGCUAAGAGGGUCGGUAAAACUCGUGCCAGCCACCGCGGUUAUACGAGAGACCCAAGUUGAUAGACGCCGGCGUAAAGAGUGGUUAAGAUAGACUGAAACUAAAGCCGAACACCCUCAGAGCUGUUAUACGCACCCGAAGGUAAGAAGUCCAAUCACGAAAGUGGCUUUAUGUCACCUGAACCCACGAAAGCUAUGAUACAAACUAGGAUUAGAUACCCUAU